rnacentral:lncRNA from 1 species
CGGCGGCCCUGAGGGGGAGGCAGGCCCGGGGGAGCGGCGGAGAGGAAGAGGGGGGCCGGGACCCGUGACAGGAACGUUUCGGGAAAAUUCUUACGGUGCCCUUCCCCGCUGUGGCUGUGGACGGAGGAAGCAGCCGCAAAUAAAAGCAUCCCCCGCGGCAGUUGGGGCGGAACAAUCUAGAUGUGGGUGUUGGUUCUGGAUGCUGAGAAGUCCAAGAUCAAGGUGCCAGCAGAUCUGAUGUCUGAUGAGGUUUGCUGGUUUGUCUGGUGAUGUCUUCUUGGUUUGCAGAUGGCCACCGUCUUGCUUAAGUGACAGAGCAAGAUUGCAGUCCUGGCCUGUGUGACUCUGAACCGCUAGAUGUGGCUGCAGGAAUGGCAGCAGGAGGACUGCUGUGGAGAUGAAGAUAAG